rnacentral:rRNA from 1 species
CAGUAGCCACGGUAAUACGAAGGGUGCAAGCGUUACUCGGAAUUACUGGGCGUAAAGCGUGCGUAGGUGGUGGUUUAAGUCCGUUGUGAAAGCCCUGGGCUCAACCUGGGAAUUGCAGUGGAUACUGGGUCACUAGAGUGUGGUAGAGGAUAGUGGAAUUUCCGGUGUAGCAGUGAAAUGCGUAGAGAUCGGAAGGAACAUCUGUGGCGAAGGCGACUAUCUGGGCCAACACUGACAAUGAGGCACGAAAGCGUGGGGAGCAAACAGGAUUAGAUACCCCAGUAGUCCCUGUCUCUUAUAC